CCAGGAAUCUGGCCAAUGACAGUUGUGCGCGCCUUCUACCGAACAAAUUUGAAGAUACACAUCAGUUCCGUUGCUGCUGCUCGGUGUAACUGCAGUCCUGCUUCACUCGCUGCACUAGUAAUGGCUUUUACAUGGAUUAUCACACAUCUGACAGAUUAAUUCUUUUUGAGUUCGACUGAGAACGAAAACGUGCGAAUAUGAACACAGACACUUAACGUGACCAAUGGCCGAUGGACACAUUGCAAACGGCAGAAGUUUAACAGAGAGGACAUGAAACCAUCAUUCUUGGACUCUGAAGAAUACUAUGCAAAUCAUGCUUUUGGAUCUACUGUGAAGUUUUUGUAUAAAGCUGAGGUUUUGGGAUUGAAAAUUUGCCACAUGAUUUCCCGUAAAAAAGAAAGUCAGUUAUACAGGUUGGAGAGACAUGG